GACGAACGCUGGCGGCGUGCUUAACACAUGCAAGUCGUACGGUAAGGCCCUUUCGGGGGUACACGAGUGGCGAACGGGUGAGUAACACGUGAGUAACCUGCCCACAACUUUGGGAUAACGCUAGGAAACUGGUGCUAAUACUGGAUAUGUGCUCCUGCUGCAUGGUGGGGGUUGGAAAGCUCCGGCGGUUGUGGAUGGACUCGCGGCCUAUCAGCUUGUUGGUGGGGUAGUGGCCUACCAAGGCGGCGACGGGUAGCCGGCCUGAGAGGGUGACCGGCCACAUUGGGACUGAGAUACGGCCCAGACUCCGACGGGAGGCAGCAGUGGGGAAUAUUGCACAAUGGGCGCAAGCCUGAUGCAGCAACGCCGCGUGCGGGAUAACGGCCUUCGGGUUGUAAACCGCUUUCAGCAGGGACGAAGCUUUUUGUGACGGUACCUGCAGAAGAAGCACCGGCUAACUACGUG
rnacentral:rRNA from 1 species